AGCAGUUUCCUUGCAACGGAAAUAGGUGUGGCUCAUGAAAAUGGCUGCUAAUGAGGGACUUGGAGUACCAUAAAUUUAUCUGCCGUGAGCUGAUAUUUUAAGCAAUGUAGAGUACAAGGAGCAAAUUUUCCUUUCUUGUACUUACAUCCAUGCAUCACUGAA